rnacentral:lncRNA from 1 species
GGUGUGGACCUGUUCCCAGAGUCAGCUGCUCUGACCACUCAGCAGCUGACAGCACGAGCUGAUGGUGCUGACAGCUGUUAUUACCCAGAGCUCCUAAGGAGAGAUGCCAGAGGUAGAGACCUGCCAAGCAGGUAAAAUUUGUUUAAGCAAAGCAAAGUGAAGAAUCUACAAAACAGGAGCCUCUGGCCCAGGGUGAAUGAAGGGUUUCAGCAGAGUCCCCAGCUCUCAUCUCUCCCCUACGUGUGGGAAAUCCCCAGGACUGCUUGAUCACGCUGACCAUUCCUGGAUUCUCUCCACUCAAAGGAUGAAGCUGUUCUCUGAAGUUCCCUUAUCUGCCUAAAGUCUGCACCCACCAAAGAAGAAAACAAUCACUUCUGGUCCCUUCCCUGAGUUUUCAUUAACCAAGCUCAUAUCGCAGGAAGAAAGGCUGAAGCUUAUCAACACACCUGGACAGACUUGUCACAAACCAUUGUCUUCUGCUUCAGUCCCAUUCAGUAUUUCAAAGAGAAUAUUUUACCAGCCAUUGUCUGCUCUGUGGACCCAACAGACAUUGUCCCAGGCCAUCGUAUGUUCUCCAAGCCCAUUGAAUUAUCCUAAAAAUCAUUUACUAUACCUCUCAAAGCCGUCCACAUUUCUCCAGCUUUCCCCUAUGAAGGGUAUAUAAGCAUCUGUAACCCAUCAGGUUACGGGGUCAUUGAUUUCCUAUGGUUCCCCCCAUUGCAGGUUAAAAUAAAUUCUAUAUGCCUUUUUUCCUGUGAAUCUGCCUCUUGUCAGUUGGUGUUCUGCAAACCUUCAGAGCGUGGCGAGAAAGUUUUCCCUUGGCCCCUGCAGUUUUGGCACUGUGAGCAGGACAACCAAAUCCACUCUGCUUUUCUGGAAGCUGCAGUCAAGGGAACCCAGGACCUGACAAGCUGG